rnacentral:tmRNA from 1 species
GGGGGCGAUGUGGUUUCGACGGGGGUAUGAAGUCGAAGUGGCAUGCCGGGGUCCUGUUAUCCCGUUAAACAAACAGGCUGCAAAAUUAACUGCAGAUAAUUUCGAGUACAAACUAGCUGCCUAAUCGCAGUUAGCGUCUUACCGGCUUUCUCCCGCAGGGUCGGACAAGGCGUCAUUUAGCGGGAUGGACCGAUUCUCCUGCCGGAGGGGAUAAGGUCGAGAUUCAAACCGGAUGGUCCUGUGAGACCCUGCCGCUGGGGGAUUACAGGGUGACGAUAAAACAUCGGCUAAGCGUGUAGAGGC